CUGGGAUGUGGCUUGGGAAUCGGGAUUUUUAAACGCUCCCCUAGUGGCGGGCCCCGUGGCUGAGUGGUUAAGUUCUCUCGCUCCGCUUCGGAGCGCCGGUUCAGAUCCUGGGCGCAGACAUGGCACCACUCAUCAGGCCAUCCUGUGGAGUCAUCCCACAUGCCACAACUAGAAGGACCCACAACUAAAAUAUACAAUGGUUCUAAAGAAAAUGUAGUCUCACUGUAGAAUAUUUGGAAAAUACAGAGCACCAAAAGGAAGAAGAAGAUUAAAUUUAAUCAUCCCCACCCCUCCUCCAUCAGAGAUAGAGGAUUAGCCCUGAGCUAACAUCCGUUGCCCAUCUGCCUCUACUUUAUAUAUGGAACGCCUACCACGGCAUGGCUUGCUGAGUGGGUUAUAUUCAUUGACCUACAUAUCUGCUAAUCUGUGUAAUGGUUUAUGCAGGAAAUUGCAAUUGAAGAAAGAUCUUACAUCAUACCAAGAGCGGAGGUUCCAGAGACGUGAUUUUCAAUUUAUCAAGAUGGGCAAUGGAUACUUUCAGUGUUCCUUGAGUAACAGAAAUGGCUUUUUUAUUGGAAUGAAACAGCAGCUGGACGUUCAGUAGGGGCAGAAGUCUUUUGGGUGGAAUUGCAGAGAAGUGCCAUGCUCCUGUCCCUUGGAGGAAGGAAAGAAGACAUAAUACUAAGUCAAGUGAAGAUGUUAUACUAAGUCUGGAGUUUUGAUAUCUUGAGCUGGACAUUCUUAUUAUUGCAUUAGUCACUGCAUUAGCGUAAAGUAACCAGAUUUCACCUAUUACCCGAGAAUCAGCAGUGAUGCCUUGCAACAGACAGAGUGUUUGUCCUGAGGCAAAGGAGGGUUAUAUCCACUAAAUGUAAUUAAAGGGGACCUGGGAGACAAAAAUAAAGUUAUAUAAUGUUUGUAAAACAACGUGGUUAUAGAAAU
rnacentral:lncRNA from 1 species